rnacentral:rRNA from 1 species
GGCCCAGACUCCUACGGGAGGCAGCAGUGGGGGAUAUUGCACAAUGGGGGGAACCCUGAUGCAGCGACGCCGCGUGGGUGAAGAAGCGCCUCGGCGCGUAAAGCCCUGUCAGCAGGGAAGAAAAUGACGGUACCUGACUAAGAAGCCCCGGCUAACUACGUGCCAGCAGCCGCGGUAAUACGUAGGGGGCAAGCGUUAUCCGGAUUUACUGGGUGUAAAGGGAGCGUAGACGGCAUGGCAAGUCUGAUGUGAAAACCCGGGGCUCAACCCCGGGACUGCAUUGGAAACUGUCAGGCUAGAGUGUCGGAGAGGCAAGUGGAAUUCCUAGUGUAGCGGUGAAAUGCGUAGAUAUCAGGAGGAACACCGGCGGCGAAGGCGGCCUGCUGGAUCGCGACUGACGUUGAGGCUCGAAAGCGUGGGGAGCGAACAGGAUUAGAUACCCCGGUA